rnacentral:tRNA from 1 species
UCCCUGGUGGUCCAGUGGUUAAGACUCUGCGCUUUCACUGUAGGGAGCGCAAGUUCGAUCCCUACCCAGGGAA